rnacentral:lncRNA from 1 species
GGAUUUCGGCGAUGGGGAAUCGUCUUCGGCGAUUCUUCAAAUUAGUGAGUUUCAGGCCGAAUUACACAGGGGUAUUGGGUUUUCGUUUUACUGUCACUUGGGAUCAUUUUACCGAUCGUAUUUCUAAUCGGUCCACUGUACAUGCAUUUCGCCAAACUAUUCUUCCUCUUGGUACGUCUCUUUGCUCAUGUUCACCCUUCUUCCAUUUUUAGCCUUUAUAAACUCAAUUUUUAUUCUUUUAUUUUCGGAUACAGCAGCACUUGUCUCUAUUGAUCCCCUUAUACCAAAAGAAGAACCAGAAGAGGUUUCUGAUACUUCACCUCUUUCUUUUUCCUUGUCCUUGCUCUUAGAUUUUCGAGAUACAUAUAUAUUUCAUUUCUAUCUUAUAGUCAAUUCCAGAUUCUUCAUCGGUCCUGGCUUCAGAUAAAAGACCGAUUGAGACUGUACAAUCCACACCUCUGCUGUCUUCAAAGCGGCGCAAAUCAAUUGCC